GAUGAACGCUGGCGGCGUGCCUAAUACAUGCAAGUCGAGCGAACAGACGAGGAGCUUGCUCCUCUGACGUUAGCGGCGGACGGGUGAGUAACACGUGGAUAACCUACCUAUAAGACUGGGAUAACUUCGGGAAACCGGAGCUAAUACCGGAUAAUAUAUUGAACCGCAUGGUUCAAUAGUGAAAGACGGUUUUGCUGUCACUUAUAGAUGGAUCCGCGCCGCAUUAGCUCGUUGGUAAGGUAACGGCUUACCAAGGCAACGAUGCGUAGCCGACCUGAGAGGGUGAUCGGCCACACUGGAACUGAGACACGGUCCAGACUCCUACGGGAGGCCGCAGUAGGGAAUCUUCCGCAAUGGGCGAAAGCCUGACGGAGCAACGCCGCGUGAGUGAUGAAGGUCUUCGGAUCGUAAAACUCUGUUAUUAGGGAAGAACAAAUGUGUAAGUAACUAUGCACGUCUUGACGGUACCUAAUCAGAAAGCCACGGCUAACUACGUG
rnacentral:rRNA from 1 species